rnacentral:rRNA from 1 species
AAUGAACGCUGGCGGCAUGCCUAACACAUGCAAGUCGAACGAAGGCUUCGGCCUUAGUGGCGCACGGGUGCGUAACGCGUGGGAAUCUGCCCUUGGGUUCGGAAUAACCGUUAGAAAUGACUGCUAAUACCGGAUGAUGUCGUAAGUACAAAGAUUUAUCGCCCAAGGAUGAGACCGCGUAGGAUUAGCUAGUUGGUGGGGUAAAGGCCCACCAAGGCGACGAUCCUUAGCUGGUCUGAGAGGAUGAUCAGCCACACUGGGACUGAGACACGGCCCAGACUCCUACGGGAGGCAGCAGUGGGGAAUAUUGGACAAUGGGCGAAAGCCUGAUCCAGCAAUGCCGCGUGAGUGAUGAAGGCCUUAGGGUUGUAAAGCUCUUUUACCCGGGAUGAUAAUGACAGUACCGGGAGAAUAAGCUCCGGCUAACUUCGUGCCAGCCGCCGCCGUAAGAC